rnacentral:rRNA from 1 species
UACAGAGGUCCCAAGCGUUGUUCGGAUUCAUUGGCGUAAAGGGUGCGUAGGCGGCGCGGUAAGUCGGGGGGGAAAUCUCGGGGCUUAACUCCGAAACUGCAUUCGAUACUGCCGUGCUUGAGGACUGGAGAGGAGACUGGAAUUUACGGUGUAGCGGUGAAAUGCGUAGAUAUCGUAAGGAAGACCAGUGGCGAAGGCGGGUCUCUGGACAGUUCCUGACGCUGAGGCACGAAGGCCAGGGGAGCAAACGGG